UGUUGUAAUGGCAGUCCUGGCACUGGGAGCCCCCUGCCAUUACUCAUUACUGGGGCUUCCAGUGCCAGCACUGCCACCAUAACC